rnacentral:snRNA from 1 species
AUACCUUUCUGGGCCUUUUGUCAAAGAUCAGUGUAGUAUAUGUUCUUACGUUGGCCAUCAAGUCCACAUGAUAAUAAAUUAAUUUUUCUUUUGUGGAGGUCCCACCCACAAUAGCUUGCUAUUGGGGACGUCAAGCGUGGCCCAUGCAUUGCACUACUGCACGGGCCUGGCACAUCCC